UCCUAGCUUGCUAGGAGGCGUCGAGCGGCGGACGGGUGAGUAAUGCAUAGGAAUCUGCCCGGUAGUGGGGGAUAACUUGAGGAAACUCAAGCUAAUACCGCAUACGCCCUACGGGGGAAAGCAGGGGCUCUUCGGACCUUGCGCUAUCGGAUGAGCUUAUGUCGGAUUAGCUGGUUGGUGAGGUAACGGCUCACCAAGGCGACGAUCCGUAGCUGGUCUGAGAGGAUGAUCAGCCACAUCGGGACUGAGACACGGCCCGAACUCCUACGGGAGGCAGCAGUGGGGAAUAUUGGACAAUGGGGGCAACCCUGAUCCAGCCAUGCCGCGUGUGUGAAGAAGGCCCUCGGGUUGUAAAGCACUUUCAGCGAGGAAGAAUGCUUGUCGGUUAAUACCCGGCAAGGGAGACAUCACUCGCAGAAGAAGCACCGGCUAACUCCGUGCCAGCAGCCGCGGUAAUACGGAGGGUGCGAGCGUUAAUCGGAAUUACUGGGCGUAAAGCGUGCGUAGGCGGCUUGAUAAGCCGGUUGUGAAAGCCCCGGGCUCAACCUGGGAACGGCAUCCGGAACUGUUAGGCUAGAGUGCA
rnacentral:rRNA from 1 species